UAGGGAAUCUUCCGCAAUGGACGAAAGUCUGACGGAGCAACGCCGCGUGAGUGAUGAAGGCUUUCGGGUCGUAAAACUCUGUUGUUAGGGAAGAACAAGUACGAGAGUAACUGCUCGUACCUUGACGGUACCUAACCAGAAAGCCACGGCUAACUACGUGCCAGCAGCCGCGGUAAUACGUAGGUGGCAAGCGUUAUCCGGAAUUAUUGGGCGUAAAGCGCGCGCAGGCGGUUUCUUAAGUCUGAUGGGAAAGCCCACGGCUCAACCGUGGAGGGUCAUUGGAAACUGGGGAACUUGAGUGCAGAAGAGAAAAGCGGAAUUCCACGUGUAGCGGUGAAAUGCGUAGAGAUGUGGAGGAACACCAGUGGCGAAGGCGGCUUUUUGGUCUGUAACUGACGCUGAGGCGCGAAAGCGUGGGGAGCAAACA
rnacentral:rRNA from 1 species